AGAGUUUGAUCCUGGCUCAGGACGAACGCUGGCGGCGUGCUUAACACAUGCAAGUCGAACGGAAAGGCCCCUUCGGGGGUACCCGAGUGGCGAACGGGUGAGUAACACGUGGGUGAUCUGCCCUGCACUUUGGGAUAAGCCUGGGAAACUGGGUCUAAUACCGAAUAGGACCGCAUGCUUCAUGGUGUGUGGUGGAAAGCUUUUGCGGUGUGGGAUGGGCCCGCGGCCUAUCAGCUUGUUGGUGGGGUAAUGGCCUACCAAGGCGACGACGGGUAGCCGGCCUGAGAGGGUGUCCGGCCACACUGGGACUGAGAUACGGCCCAGACUCCUACGGGAGGCAGCAGUGGGGAAUAUUGCACAAUGGGCGCAAGCCUGAUGCAGCGACGCCGCGUGGGGGAUGACGGCCUUCGGGUUGUAAACCUCUUUCAGUAUCGGCGAAGCUCCAGGAUUUUUCUUGGGGUGACGGUAGGUACAGAAGAAGCACCGGCCAACUACGUGCCAGCAGCCGCGGUAAUACGUAGGGUGCGAGCGUUGUCCGGAAUUACUGGGCGUAAAGAGCUCGUAGGUGGUUUGUCACGUUGUCCGUGAAAACUCACAGCUUAACUGUGGGCGUGCGGGCGAUACGGGCAGACUGGAGUACUGUAGGGGAGACUGGAAUUCCUGGUGUAGCGGUGGAAUGCGCAGAUAUCAGGAGGAACACCGGUGGCGAAGGCGGGUCUCUGGGCAGUAACUGACGCUGAGGAGCGAAAGCGUGGGGAGCGAACAGGAUUAGAUACCCUGGUAGUCCAA
rnacentral:rRNA from 1 species